rnacentral:rRNA from 1 species
UACCAGCACCCCGAGUGGUCGGGACGAUUAUUGGGCCUAAAGCAUCCGUAGCCGGUCCUGCAAGUCUUCCGUUAGAUCCAGCUGCUCAACAGAUGGGCUGCGGAGGAUACUACAGGGCUAGGAGGCGGGAGAGGCAAGCGGUACUUUAUGGGUAGGGGUAAAAUCCGUUGAUCCAUAGAAGACCACCAGUGGCGAAGGCGGCUUGCCAGAACGCGCUCGACGGUGAGGGAUGAAAGCUGGGGGAGCAAACCGG